rnacentral:rRNA from 1 species
AUAUCAAUAAGCGGAGGAAAAGAAACCAACAGGGAUUGCCCUAGUAACGGCGAGUGAAGCGGCAACAGCUCAAAUUUGAAAUCUGGCCCCCGGGUCCGAGUUGUAAUUUGUAGAGGAUGCUUUUGGUGCGGUACCUUCCGAGUUCCCUGGAACGGGACGCCAUAGAGGGUGAGAGCCCCGUCUGGUUGGACGCCAAUCCUUUGUAAAGCUCCUUCAACGAGUCGAGUAGUUUGGGAAUGCUGCUCUAAAUGGGAGGUAUAUGUCUUCUAAAGCUAAAUAUUGGCCAGAGACCGAUAGCGCACAAGUAGAGUGAUCGAAAGAUGAAAAGCACUUUGAAAAGAGAGUUAAAAAGUACGUGAAAUUGUUGAAAGGGAAGCGCUCAUGACCAGACUUGGGCUUGGUUGAUCAUCCAGGGUUCUCCCUGGUGCACUCUUCCAGCCCAGGCCAGCAUCAGUUCGCUGUGGGGGAUAAAGGCUUCGGGAAUGUGGCUCCCUCGGGAGUGUUAUAGCCCGUUGUGUAAUACCCUGUGGUGGACUGAGGUUCGCGCAUUCGCAAGGAUGCUGGCGUAAUGGUCAUCAGCGACCCGUCUUGAAACACGGACCAAGGAGUCGUCUUCGUAUGCGAGUGUUCGGGUGUCAAACCCCUACGCGUAAUGAAAGUGAACGCAGGUGAGAGCUUCGGCGCAUCAUCGACCGAUCCUGAUGUUCUCGGAUGGAUUUGAGUAAGAGCAUACGGGGCCGGACCCGAAAGAAGGUGAACUAUGCCUGUAUAGGGUGAAGCCAGAGGAAACUCUGGUGGAGGCUCGCAGCGGUUCUGACGUGCAAAUCGAUCGUCAAAUAUGGGCAUGGGGGCGAAAGACUAAUCGAACCUUCUAGUAGCUGGUUUCCGCC